rnacentral:rRNA from 1 species
AAUAGAUACCCCGGUAGUCCCAGCCGUAAACGAUGAGCACUGGGUUGGGGGCCCACCGACGGGCUCCCAGCCGAAGGGAAACCGUGAAGUGCUCCGCCUGGGGAGUAUGGCCGCAAGGCUGAAACUCAAAGGAAUUGACGGGGGCUCACACAAGCGGUGGAGCAUGUGGCUUAAUUCGAGGCUACGCGAAAAACCUUAUCCCGGGCUUGACAUGUGGGGGUUAGCCGGCGGAAACGUCGGCGACGCCGCAAGGUGGAACCCAUGCAGGUGCUGCAUGGCUGUCGUCAGCUCGUGCCGUGAGGUGUUGGGUUAAGUCCCGUAACGAGCGAAACCCCUGCGACCAGUUGCCAGCGCGUCAUGGCGGGGACUCUGGUCGGACCGCCGGCGUCAAGCCGGAGGAAGGCGGGGACGACGUCAAGGUCAUCAUGGCCCUUAUGCCCGGGGCCGCACACGUGCUACAAUGGGUCGGACAAAGCGUCGCCAGGCCGCAAGGCCGAGCCAAUCGCAAAAACCGUCCCUCAGUUCGGAUUGCGGGCUGCAAUUCGCCCGCA